UCGACGAUGACUUUUGUGCUUGCACAAAAUGAUUAGUGGCGAACGGGUGAGUAACACGUGAGUAACCUGCCCUUAACUUCGGGAUAAGCCUGGGAAACCGGGUCUAAUACCGGAUACGACCUCCUGACGCAUGUCAUGGGGGUGGAAAGCUUUAUGCGGUUUUGGAUGGACUCGCGGCCUAUCAGCUUGUUGGUUGGGGUAAUGGCCCACCAAGGCGACGACGGGUAGCCGGCCUGAGAGGGUGACCGGCCACACUGGGACUGAGACACGGCCCAGACUCCUACGGGAGGCAGCAGUGGGGAAUAUUGCACAAUGGGCGAAAGCCUGAUGCAGCGACGCCGCGUGAGGGACGAAGGCCUUCGGGUUGUAAACCUCUUUCAGCAGGGAAGAAGCGAAAGUGACGGUACCUGCAGAAGAAGCGCCGGCUAACUACGUGCCAGCAGCCGCGGUAAUACGUAGGGCGCAAGCGUUAUCCGGAAUUAUUGGGCGUAAAGAGCUCGUAGGCGGUUUGUCGCGUCUGCUGUGAAAGCCCGGGGCUCAACCCCGGGUCUGCAGUGGGUACGGGCAGACUAGAGUGCAGUAGGGGAGACUGGAAUUCCUGGUGUAGCGGUGAAAUGCGCAGAUAUCAGGAGGAACACCGAUGGCGAAGGCAGGUCUCUGGGCUGUAACUGACGCUGAGGAGCGAAAGCAUGGGGAGCGAACAGGAUUAGAUACCCUGGUAGUCCAUGCCGUAAACGUUGGGCACUAGGUGUGGGGGACAUUCCACGUUUUCCGCGCCGUAGCUAACGCAUUAAGUGCCCCGCCUGGGGAGUACGGCCGCAAGGCUAAAACUCAAAGGAAUUGACGGGGGCCCGCACAAGCGGCGGAGCAUGCGGAUUAAUUCGAUGCAACGCGAAGAACCUUACCAAGGCUUGACAUGAACCGGAAAGACCUGGAAACAGGUCCCCCACUUGUGGUCGGUUUACAGGUGGUGCAUGGUUGUCGUCAGCUCGUGUCGUGAGAUGUUGGGUUAAGUCCCGCAACGAGCGCAACCCUCGUUCUAUGUUGCCAGCGCGUUAUGGCGGGGACUCAUAGGARACUGCCGGGGUCAACU
rnacentral:rRNA from 1 species